CCUGGGGAGUGCGGCCGCAAGGUUAAAACUCAAAGGAAUUGACGGGGGCCCGCACAAGCGGUGGAGCAUGUGGUUUAAUUCGAUGCAACGCGAAGAACCUUACCAGGCCUUGACAUCNUGAGAACCCUUUAGAGAUAGAGGGGUGCCUUCGGGAACUCAGUGACAGGUGCUGCAUGGCUGUCGUCAGCUUGUGUCGUGAGAUGUUGGGUUAAGUCCCGUAACGAGCGCAACCCUUGUCNUUAGUUGCCAGCACGUAAUGGUGGGAACUCUAGGGAGACUGCCGGUGACAAACCGGAGGAAGGCGGGGANGACGUCAAGUCAUCAUGGCCCUUACGGCCUGGGCUACACACGUGCUACAAUGGAACGCACAAAGGGCUGCAAAUGCGCGAGCAGGAGCGAAUCCCACAAAACGUUUNGUAGUCCGGAUUGGAGUCUGCAACUCGANUCCAUGAAGUCGGAAUCGCUAGUAAUCGUGAAUCAGAAUGUCNCGGUGAAUACGUUCCCGGGCCUUGNACACACUGCCCGU
rnacentral:rRNA from 1 species